rnacentral:miRNA from 1 species
CCUCCAGAUGUUUUGGGACUUCAACUCCCAUCAUCCCUGACCACUGGUCCUGUUAGCUAGGGAUGAUGGGAGUUGAAGUCCCAAAACAUCUAGAGG